AUUGAACGCUGGCGGCAGGCCUAACACAUGCAAGUCGAACGAGUGGCGGACGGGUGAGUACUGUCUGGGAAACUGCCUGAUGGCGGGGGAUAACUACUGGAAACGGUAGCUAAUACCGCAUACCAUCGGAUGUGCCCAGAUGGGAUUAGCUAGUAGGUGUGGUAAAGGCUCACCUAGGCGACGAUCCCUAGCUGGUCUGAGAGGAUGACCAGCCACACUGGAAAUGAGACAAGGUCCAGACUCCUACGGGAGGCAGCAGUGGGGAAUAGUGAACAAUGGGGGCAAGCCUGAGGCAGCCAUGCCGCGUGUAUGAAGAAGGCCUGCGGGUUGUAAAGUACUUUCAGCGGGGAGGCGUUACCCACAGAAGAAGCACCGGCUAACUCCGUGCCAGCAGCCGCGGUAAUAC
rnacentral:rRNA from 1 species